AAUAUUGCACAAUGGGGGAAACCCUGAUGCAGCGACGCCGCGUGAGCGAAGAAGGCCUUCGGGUCGUAAAGCUCUGUCCUAAGGGACGAAACGGACGGUACCUUAGGAGGAAGCCCCGGCUAACUACGUGCCAGCAGCCGCGGUAAUACGUAGGGGGCGAGCGUUAUCCGGAAUUAUUGGGCGUAAAGGGUGCGUAGGCGGCCUGAUAAGUCAGGUGUGAAAUACCAGGGCUCAACUCUGGGGGUGCACUUGAAACUGUCGGGCUUGAGUGCAGGAGAGGAAAGCGGAAUUCCUAGUGUAGCGGUGAAAUGCGUAGAUAUUAGGAGGAACACCAGUGGCGAAGGCGGCUUUCUGGACUGUAACUGACGCUGAGGCACGAAAGCGUGGGUAGCGAACA
rnacentral:rRNA from 1 species